rnacentral:rRNA from 1 species
CUUCCAGAGUAUCAAUUGGAGGGCAAGUCUGGUGCCAGCAGCCGCGGUAAUUCCAGCUCCAAUAGCGUAUAUUAAAAUUGUUGCAGUUAAAAAGCUCGUAGUUGAAUUUCUGCUGCAUUGCUUGUGUCCCUCUGGGGUCUGUGCAUGUGGCUUUUUUCGGACGGAGUUUCUUUGUCUGAAUGUUUACUUUGAGAAAAUUAGAGUGCUCAAAGCAGGCUUUCGCCUUGAAUAGUUUAGCAUGGAAUAAUAAAGUAGGACUUUGGUUCUAUUUUGUUGGUUUUAGGUACCAAAGUAAUGGUUAAUAGGAACAGUUGGGGGCAUUCGUAUUUAACUGUCAGAGGUGAAAUUCUUAGAUUUGUUAAAGACGAACUACUGCGAAAGCAUUUGCCAAGGAUGUUUUCAUUAAUCAAGAACGAAAGUUAGGGGAUCGAAGACGAUCAGAUACCGUCGUAGUCCUAACCAUAAA